UAGGGAAUCUUCCACAAUGGGCGAAAGCCUGAUGGAGCAACGCCGCGUGUGUGAUGAAGGCUUUAGGGUCGUAAAGCACUGUUGUAUGGGAAGAAAUGCUAGAAUAGGGAAUGAUUCUAGUUCGACGGUACCAUACCAGAAAGGGACGGCUAAAUACGUGCCAGCAGCCGCGGUAAUACGUAUGUCCCGAGCGUUAUCCGGAUUUAUUGGGCGUAAAGCGAGCGCAGACGGUUGAUUAAGUCUGAUGUGAAAGCCCGGAGCUCAACUCCGGAAUGGCAUUGGAAACUGGUUAACUUGAGUGUUGUAGAGGUAAGUGGAACUCCAUGUGUAGCGGUGGAAUGCGUAGAUAUAUGGAAGAACACCAGUGGCGAAGGCGGCUUACUGGACAACAACUGACGUUGAGGCUCGAAAGUGUGGGUAGCAAACAGGAUUAGAUACCCUGAUAGUCCACACCGUAAACGAUGAAUACUAGGUGUUAGGAGGUUUCCGCCUCUUAGUGNCGAAGCUAACGCAUUAAGUAUUCCGCCUGGGGAGUACGACCGCAAGGUUG
rnacentral:rRNA from 1 species